rnacentral:rRNA from 1 species
UACCAGCACCCCGAGUGGUCGGGACGAUUAUUGGGCCUAAAGCAUCCAUAGCCGGUCCUGCAAGUCUUCCGUUAAAUCCACCUGCUCAACAGUUGGGCUGCGGGGGAUACUACAGGGCUAGGAGGCGGGAGAGGCAAGCGGUACUCAGUGGGUAGGGGUAAAAUCCGCUGAUCCAUUGAAGACCACCAGUGGCGAAGGCGGCUUGCCAGAACGCGCUCGACGGUGAGGGAUGAAAGCUGGGGGGAGCAAACCGG